UACAGAGGUCCCGAGCGUUGUUCGGAUUCACUGGGCGUAAAGGGUGCGUAGGUGGUUAGGUAAGUCGGAUGUGAAAGCUCGGAGCUCAACUCCGAAAUGGCAUUGGAAACUACCUUGCUCGAGGGUUGGAGGGGGGACUGGAAUACUUGGUGUAGCAGUGAAAUGCGUAGAUAUCAAGUGGAACACCAGUGGCGAAGGCGAGUCCCUGGACAACUCCUGACACUGAGGCACGAAAGCUAGGGGAGCAAACAGG
rnacentral:rRNA from 1 species